rnacentral:rRNA from 1 species
CCUACGGGAGGCAGCAGUAGGGAAUAUUGCUCAAUGGGGGAAACCCUGAAGCAGCAACGCCGCGUGGAGGAUGAAGGUUUUCGGAUUGUAAACUCCUUUUGUUAGAGAAGAUAAUGACGGUAUCUAACGAAUAAGCACCGGCUAACUCCGUGCCAGCAGCCGUGGUAAAACGGAGGGUGCAAGCGUUACUCGGAAUCACUGGGCGUAAAGAGCGCGUAGGCGGGAUAGCAAGUCAGAUGUGAAAUCCUAUGGCUUAACCAUAGAACUGCAUUUGAAACUGGUAUUCUAGAGUAUGGGAGAGGUAGGUGGAAUGCUUGGUGUAGGGGUAAAAUCCGUAGAGAUCAAGAGGAAUACUCAUUGCGAAGGCGACCUGCUGGAACAUAACUGACGCUGAUGCGCGAAAGCGUGGGGAGCAAACAGGAUUAGAUACCCCGGUAGUC